CAGUAAGUCGCCUCAUUCCCACAGUUCCUGUACGGCUAGAAAUGCACGUACUGUAUGAUGUACAGGAAAGAGAGAAGACGGCAGGUUUCUGGUAGCCAUGUUCCCCGCUUGACACAAGCCUCUGGAUGCUGCAUCGACAGAAACGGAACAGCUUAACACGGAGAACAACGCUUAGAGUAGAAGAAGAAUGAAGCUGAAACAGACGUGAAACUUGGAUCUAAUCCAGCAUCAGAUUGUGGGACUGCCUACAAAUAGUCAACUAAAGCAGCAAAUUUUUUGCUGGGUUUUUCCACACACACAAAAAAAAAAAACCUUACACCACAAAGUGAAAAAUGUCUGUAGGCUUUGUAGCAAGUGCACAUCCUUCCUCUUAGGCUUCUGUCUAAGGGUGAAUAUACUGUAGCCAAAGUUUUAUAUCAUAAUAUAAAGCAUGAGGUCACAAGGUAGCUCACACAACCGGAUGACAAAAUGAACCGGUCAAUAGUUUCUCUGCCAGAUGACUGUAUUCAGCUCACAUUUCCUACAAGCAACCAGCUCAUACAUCUUGAGAGGAACCAUUUAUUGGAAAACCGUCUUACACUGAUUUCAGCUAUGAGUGUUAUUGUGCAGUGCUAUGCCUUCCACAAACAGCCACAAAAAAAAGUGACUGAAGCCCUUUUCCAUUUCGGAGUAAUCCGUUUGAAAUCAGUUUAGCGACCAACAACGUCGAUAAUCUCUCAUCUGUGUGAUCAUCCACAUCCAUCUCUUAGAUCAGUGAGUAAGAGUUAACAUCUCUGGUUCAUCUCAGACUGGAUCAUUAGAGUUUAAGUGAUAUGGUGUCUUCUCUGAAGCUUUCCUUCCCCUGGGGAUCCAGCUGUUAUUGAACCGUCUGAACAAUGCGUGCAUUAAGGCCGUAUCUUCUAUAGCACGGCACAGAUGAUUAAGUCGAUACAGUACAGAGGGGUAUUAUUUCAGAUCAUUAGUAGUAACUGUAAAGAAUUUUAUGUAAUUCAGAUCUUUUUCACUUUUUUUAGAUGUGCUGUGGGUUUAUCUCUGUUCUACUGUUAUCAUGAAGAGGUGUAGCUAAAAACACAGAGUCAUGAUACUCUGCAUACAGAAACCCAAUGGUGUCCUGAUUAAUCUUAUACCAGACUUGCAGCAAUAAAAUAAUUUCAUCGUUUAUACUGAUUGAAAAUGUCAGUGUAAUGUUAGAAAGGGUUAAAAAGAUCUUCGUUUUGGUUCAUCUACCCCAAAUUCAAAUCAAUUAGGUAUAAACAAUCCAAUCUAAUCGAUACACCAAUCACAAUACAGAACACUUUGGAUCCCAUCCUCUUUAAAGAUUAAUGAUGGAAGUGACCAUCGGAAUAAAUAAAUAAACAAACAAACGCAUAUUCAAUGAAAGAAAUAGACAAUAAAAUAUAAACAUCUUUUCAAUCAAUUCUCCUUUUGUAUUUGAUAUUUAGC